rnacentral:rRNA from 1 species
GAUGAACGCUGGCGGCGUGCUUAACACAUGCAAGUCGAACGGGAAAACUUUUAUUGAAGCUUCGGCAGAUUUAGCUGGUUUCUAGGGGCGGACGGGUGAGUAACGCGUGGGUAAUCUGCCUUAUACAGGGGGAUAACAGUCAGAAAUGGCUGCUAAUGCCGCAUAAGCGCACAGAGCUGCAUGUCUCAGCGUGAAAAACUCCGGUGGGAUAAGAUGGACCAGCGUUGGAUUGGCUGGUUGGCGGGGUAACGGCCCACCAAGGCGACGGUCCCUAGCCGGGCUGAGAGGGUGAGCGGCCACAUUGGGACUGGGACACGGCCCAGACUCCUAGGGGAGGGAGGAGUGGGGAAUACUGCACAAUGGGGGAAACCCUGAUGCAGCGACGCCGCGUGAAGGAAGAAGUAGCGCGGUAUGUAAACUUCUAUCAGAAGGGACGGUAAUGACGGUACCUGACUAAGAAGCCCCGGCUAACUACGUG